rnacentral:lncRNA from 1 species
AUGUCACUCACCUUCAGGCGGCCCAAGACACUGCGACUCCGGAGGCAGCCCAGAUAUCCUCGGAAGAGCACCCCCAGGAGAAACAAGCUUGGCCACUAUGCUAUCAUCAAGUUUCCGCUGACCACUGAGUCGGCCGUGAAGAAGAUAGAAGAAAACAACACGCUUGUGUUCACUGUGGAUGUUAAAGCCAACAAGCACCAGAUCAGACAGGCUGUGAAGAAGCUCUAUGACAGUGAUGUGGCCAAGGUCACCACCCUGAUUUGUCCUGAUAAAGAGAAGGCAUAUGUUCGACUUGCUCCUGAUUAUGAUGCUUUCGAUGUUGUAACAAAAUUGGGAUCACCUAAACUGAGUCCAGCUGGCUAA